GCGGCGGACGGGUGAGUAAUGCCUAGGAAUCUGCCUAUUAGUGGGGGACAACGUUUCGAAAGGAACGCUAAUACCGCAUACGUCCUACGGGAGAAAGCAGGGGACCUUCGGGCCUUGCGCUAAUAGAUGAGCCUAGGUCGGAUUAGCUAGUUGGUGAGGUAAAGGCUCACCAAGGCGACGAUCCGUAACUGGUCUGAGAGGAUGAUCAGUCACACUGGAACUGAGACACGGUCCAGACACCUACGGGAGGCAGCAGUGGGGAAUAUUGGACAAUGGGCGAAAGCCUGAUCCAGCCAUGCCGCGUGUGUGAAGAAGGUCUUCGGAUUGUAAAGCACUUUAAGUUGGGAGGAAGGGCAGUAAGUUAAUACCUUGCUGUUUUGACGUUACCGACAGAAUAAGCACCGGCUAACUUCGUGCCAGCAGCCGCGGUAAUACGAAGGGUGCAAGCGUUAAUCGGAAUUACUGGGCGUAAAGCGCGCGUAGGUGGUUCGUUAAGUUGGAUGUGAAAGCCCCGGGCUCAACCUGGGAACUGCAUCCAAAACUACUGAGCUAGAGUACGGUAGAGGGUGGUGGAAUUUCCUGUGUAGCGGUGAAAUGCGUAGAUAUAGGAAGGAACACCAGUGGCGAAGGCGACCACCUGGACUGAUACUGACACUGAGGUGCGAAAGCGUGGGGAGCAAACAGGAUUAGAUACCCUGGUAGUCCACGCCGUAAACGAUGUCAACUAGCUGUUGGGUUCCUUGAGGACUUAGUAACGAAGCUAACGCGAUAAGUUGACCGCCUGGGGAGUACGGCCGCAAGGUUAAAACUCAAAAUGAAUUGACGGGGGCCCGCACAAGCGGUGGAGCAUGUGGUUUAUUUCGAAGCAACGCGAAGAA
rnacentral:rRNA from 1 species